rnacentral:rRNA from 1 species
UACGGAGGGUGCGAGCGUUGUCCGGAAUCACUGGGCGUAAAGGGCGCGUAGGCGGCCGAUCAAGUCAGGCGUGAAAUUCCCGGGCUCAACCUGGGGGCUGCGCUUGAUACUGAUUGGCUUGAAUGCGGGAGAGGACAGUGGAAUUCCCAGUGUAGAGGUGAAAUUCGUAGAUAUUGGGAAGAACACCGGUGGCGAAGGCGGCUAUCUGGCCCGUAAUUGACGCUGAGGCGCGAAAGCGUGGGGAGCAAACAGG